UAUCUAACUACCUAUUUAUUAUGAAUUACAUCAUUCAUUACAUUGACUUAAUAAAAAAACAUAACAUUAUCUCAGGUUUUACUAACCUUAACUUAUCUUGCAUACCUUUAGAUACUCAAAAGGUUUACAUAAUUAAUUUACAUAAUGUAAUAUAACAAUUAAAAGUUCACAUUAAACUACUUUUGAGAUUUUCAUUUGCCUUUGUCUUUCUUUGACCCUUCAUCUAUCUCGACUUUAGCUGAAAUGUUUUAUUUAAAUCAAGGGUGAGCAACUAGUUUUCUCCGCAAGUUAAAACAUUUAAUAAAGGAUAUAGAAUAAUAUAACUUUCUAAAACUUUGAAAAUAUUCAAAAGAUUGUGAAGUAACUGAACAAUAAAUCAUUUUAAAUAAAAAGAAAUUUCUAAAAAUCCAAGUUGAAUAACUUAUCAAAAAUGAAAGAGUUAAAUUCUUUCGAAGAUUCAAUAAUAUUCAUUUAAUUAGGAAUAAUUAGCUAUAAUACAACAAUAUUCAAUAAAGUGGGAUAUUCCAAGAUUUCAUGUCGAGUGAUCACGAAUGGAUCAAGAACUAAUAAAUGAAUUAUCAGUUAAUUAAUAUUGAAUUACCUCAAGAGUAUAAGUUAACCGUAAAGAUUAAAUCAUACUCUUCUGCGAGUAUAUGAGGUGAUCAGCCCCAUUGUACCCUAUAUUAUGCAUAAUACUCAAAAAUAGCGCAAGGGAUCGGAUGUCCGACAAUAAAGUUCCCCUUUUAAUAAGUGUUGUUCAUCUCAGUCUUACAUCAUGAGUCCGUACCACAACAAUGUGGUUUGAAUUUUUUCAAAGAAAUGCUAUGAUUUCAACAUAUAAUAACAAUAUUGAUCUAGCCGAAAUAAAUGGCAUAGAUAUUUCAAUAACAACUUAAUUCAAAUAAUAUAACGAUUUAUCAAUUAUUAGUCUAGCCGAAACAAAUAGCUGAGACAUGGCUCAUAAACAGUUCAUGAAUAAAAGAACUUUAAAUUAUUUCACAGUUCAAGUAAUAGAACAUGAAAUUAAAUGCACUAUGUGCGAAUAACAAUAAUCAUUAUAGAUGUAAAUAACCAACAAUAAUUAUCCACUAAUCAUGCUUUGAAAUUAAUAACUCAAGUUGAGUUAGGAAACUUGCAAUAAAUGUGAAUAUUCAAUAAUAAUCAUAGAUGUGGAAUAAUCAACAAUAAUUAUCCACUAAUAUGCUUGAAAAAUAAUAACUCAAGUUUGAGUUGGGGAACUUGCCUGAUCUGUUGACUACUGUUACGCAAUUUAAUUCAACUUAUAUUGUAAAACCUAUCUUUAAUAAGAUCGAUCUCUCAACUAGCAUAACAUAUUAUAACUCAUAACACCACUAUUCUUAUAAUAAAUUAUCUAACAUGUAAUCACAUAAUCAAACAUUCAAUAAUACAUUACUUAUUAGGAAUAUUAUCAUUCUUAGAUAAUAUUGCUCACUUAAUCAUUAUCUUAAACUUUUGUCUAAUAUUAUUAAAUAUUUAAUAAUAUUUUAUUCACUUUCUAAUAUUAUUAAUCAUUUAAAAAUAUUUUAAUCCCUUAUUAAUAUUAUUAAUCAUUUAAUAAUAUUUUAGUCACUUGAUAAUAUUAUUAACCACUUAAUAAUAUUCUGUACAUUAAUCACAUCUUAUCCAAUUACUAAUAUUAUUAAUAAAUUAAUAAUAUUUUAAUCAAUAUCUAAUAUCUUAACCAUUCACAAAUGUUAUUACCCAUUUAAUAAUAUUUUAAUCAAUUAAUAAUAUUAUUAAUCAUUUAAUAAUAUUUUAAUUUAACUUUAAUCUAAUAUUAUUAAUUAUUUAAUAAUAUUUUAAAUCAUUAUCUAAUAUUAUUAACCAUUUAAUAAUAUUUUAAUUUAACUUUAAUCUAAUAUUAUUAAUCAUUUAAUAAUAUUUUAAAUAAUUAUAUAAUAUUAUUAAUCAUUUACUAAUAUUUUAAUUUAGCUUUAAUCUAAUAUUAUUAAUUAUUUAAUAAUAUUUUAAAUCAUUAUUAAUUACUUAAUAAUAUCUUAAACUAAUAUUAUUAAUCUCUUAAUAAUAUUUUACUCAUUUAUUAAACUAAUAAAUAAUUUAUUUUAAUUGUUUACCCUUUACUAAUUAUUUUAUUUAACAACCCUAAAAUACCAUAAAUAUAAUACUUCAUCAACAAUGACCAAAAUAUCCUCCAGAAAUCUGAUUACAUCAUAUUAAGGGUUUCUAAGCCAUAAAAUCACAUUUUUACCCUUUUUAACAUUAUAUAACUUAUUUUAUCCAUUUAUUCAUAACUCAAUCAUUUAUAUGAAAAAUAUCAAAUCAACUCCAAAAUUAUUAUUUUUCUAGGAAAUAUCAGUACAUGGUGUCAUGGUGAACAUAUAAUGUUUCUAGAAUUUUUGGAUUUCAUUUACUAUUUUUAAAAUGACCAAAACACCCGGAUCUUGCAACAUUUUUUAUAAAUUGAGUUUUUGUCCAAAAAUUAGGAAAUAUUCAGGGUCUGUUCCUAUCAUAUACAUAUACUCCCUGUAACAAUUUUAAAACUUUUGGAGUUAACGACAAAGAGUUAUUCAAGUUUACUUUUAAAAUAGUCAUUUAUUGUAAAAUCCAUAACUUUAAUUCUACAAAUCCCAAAAAAAUCAUAUUUGGACCAGAUCUAGAUAACUCAUCAUAUUAACAUUCCAAGUUUUUGUAGAAUUUUUAAAGCACAUAAAAAUGAUGAAAUUGCCCUUGCAAGCAGCUGACUAGAAACAGUGUAUUUCCCUUUUUUUUAAAAUAUGGACUUUUUUCACCAAAACAGCUCCCAAGGCUUGUAAAAUCAACAUUUUUGAAUGCUACCUCUUGGGUUUAUUAGUUAACUUACAUAUCUAACACCCCGAUUUGACAUAUCGCACAAAGAAUGUGUAGAUCUCAAGUUAUAACCUUUUAAAGUAGUAGAAAGUUAGGGUUUUCUAGCCCUUAGGAACAUAGUUUUCAUUUUCUUCCUUUGAUCCAAAUUUUUAACACUCAAAAUGGUUAUAUCUAAAAAGAAAAUACUAGAAAACGUCUAGAUCUAUGGUUUUGAAGUGCAAGAUCAUAAGCUCUUAUUUCUUUAAAAACAAACUAAAUAAAAAAGAAAUUAACUAGUUUAUAGUUAGGCUUUUAUACCUUUGAUCUUCGUGAUCUUCUUCCAUGAUAGCUUAAAUAUUUUGGUGGAAUGAAAGAUGAAUUCCCCUCUUCUCCUUGUAAGGGCUACCGAACCCUUCUAUUCUCUCUCUCUCUAUUUGGUUUUGUUAGCUAAGUUGGAAGAAAGAGAAGUAAUGAAGUAAAAAAAAUAUUUGUAAGGUUUUUAUGAUUGGUAAUUAUGUAGAGAUAUACCAUGUAUAUCCAUAUAAAAUCUUCCAACUUAGCUUGCUU
rnacentral:lncRNA from 1 species